rnacentral:rRNA from 1 species
GAUGAACGCUAGCUACAGGCUUAACACAUGCAAGUCGCAGGGUAACAUGAGGAAAGCUUGCUUUCCUUGAUGACGACUGGCGCACGGGUGAGUAACGCGUAUCCAACCUUCCCAUAACUACGGGAUAACCCGUUGAAAGACGGCCUAAUACCGUAUGAUAUCGUUUGCUGACAUCAAAUAACGAUUAAAGGUUUAGCGGUUAUGGAUGGGGAUGCGUCUGAUUAGCUUGUUGGCGGGGUAACGGCCCACCAAGGCGACGAUCAGUAGGGGUUCUGAGAGGAAGGUCCCCCAAAGUGGAACUGAGACACUGUCCAAACUCCUACGGGAGGCAGCAGUGAGGAAUAUUGGUCAAUGGGCGAGAGCCUGAACCAGCCAAGUAGCGUGCAGGACGACGGCCCUAUGGGUUGUAAACUGCUUUUAUGUGGGGAUAAAGUGCGUGACGUGUCAUGCAUUGCAGGUACCACAUGAAUAAGGACCGGCUAAGUCCGUG